AGAGGUUGCAGGUUUCAGACCACACCAGAAGUGCUCACUACAUGGCCCCUGUCAGAUUCCAAUGAAUCUGUGAAUUCCACU
rnacentral:ribozyme from 1 species